AGAAAAUCAACAGGCAAGCAAGUAAAUAAAUCAUUAAAGGAGUUUGGGGACAGUAACCAAGAUUGCAUUUUAUGCUGAAGACAUUCAAUAUUUCUUUGCCAUUUUCAAUGCUGCACUUGAGAACAACUUUGCAAGAAGGCUGAUGAAACGAUCUAUCUCAAUUAACAAACAAGUUAUAAACAUAAAUAUAAAUCAGUCAAAUUACAACAACUCAGAAACCUUUAAUAGACUUGGAAUAAUCACCAUCCUUGUUCCUCAACAAAGCAGGGUAUUAUUCUAAAAGUAAAAUUGUUAUUUGUUAUUCAUUCAUUCUUUGGAUUAUGUACCUGGAAUAGCUUCAUCAUUGAAUUUAGCGUUAACUUCAUAAUGUCCUGAUUCUCCUGGUAUAAAUGUAUAUCUAUAUCGUCCUUCAUCUAUUGAUUCUCUGUAUGUCUGUACUCUAUGACCAUUAUGAGAAACAACAGCAUCUAAUUCACCAACACCAGCCAUUGUAGCAUCAACUGUAAAGAAAGAUUUCAUGUUCGAUCCACAUCAGUGAUGCGGACAAGACUUGGAUCAAAUGCAUGACUGAUGAAAGGACUGCCAUGAAGUUUAUUACCAGCAAAGAAAACAUCAAUAAAAUGUGAACCAACUUCCAUUGGUGUAAAUUCAGCUCGACAGAUAUGACCUUUUCUACUUAAUUUACAAGGUAAAGGUGUUAACACUCAAUAUACAAGGACACCUUCCUGAUGGUGAAUCAAAUUGAAUACACAUUUUGUCAGAGAAGAAAAGUGUAAAUUUCAGACAGACUUAAUUUAUAUAGCUAACAAUUCAUACUGUACAUAAUUUAAUGUUCAUAACCUCGUUGGGAUAUAGAUAUUAAAUCAUAAGGUCUAAA